CAGCCGCCGCGGUAAUACGGAGGGGGCUAGCGUUGUUCGGAAUUACUGGGCGUAAAGCGCACGUAGGCGGCGAUUUAAGUCAGAGGUGAAAGCCCGGGGCUCAACCCCGGAACUGCCUUUGAGACUGGAUUGCUAGAAUCUUGGAGAGGCGGGUGGAAUUCCGAGUGUAGAGGUGAAAUUCGUAGAUAUUCGGAAGAACACCAGUGGCGAAGGCGACAUACUGGAUCAUUACUGACGCUGAGGCUCGAAAGCGUGGGGAGCAAACAGGAUUAGAUACCCCAGUAGUCCCUGUCUCUAUACA
rnacentral:rRNA from 1 species